CUCACCAUCCAGUCGACUAUGAUGCCCAGCUUGCUGGGUGGAUUAGUGGCCAACGGGUGAGUAACAUGUGAGUAACCUGCCCCUGACUCUGGGAUAAGCGUUGGAAACGACGUCUAAUACUGGAUAUGAUCACUGGCCGCAUGGUCUGGUGGUGGAAAGAUUUUUUGGUUGGGGAUGGACUCGCGGCCUAUCAGCUUGUUGGUGAGGUAAUGGCUCACCAAGGCGACGACGGGUAGCCUGUCUGAGAGGCUGACCGGCCACACUGGGACUGAGACACGGCCCAUAUACCUACGGGAGGCAGCAGUGGGGAAUAUUGCACAAUGGGCGAAAGCCUGAUGCAGCAACGCCGCGUGAGGGAUGACGGCCUUCGGGUUGUAAACCUCUUUUAGUAGGGAAGAAGCGAAAGUGACGGUACCUGCAGAAAAAGCACCGGCUAACUACGUGCCAGCAGCCGCGGUAAUACGUAGGGUGCAAGCGUUGUCCGGAAUUAUUGGGCGUAAAGAGCUCGUAGGCGGUUUGUCGCGUCUGCUGUGAAAUCCCGAGGCUCAACCUCGGGCUUGCAGUGGGUACGGGCAGACUAGAGUGCGGUAGGGGAGAUUGGAAUUCCUGGUGUAGCGGUGGAAUGCGCAGAUAUCAGGAGGAACACCGAUGGCGAAGGCAGAUCUCUGGGCCGUAACUGACGCUGAGGAGCGAAAGCAUGGGGAGCGAACAGGAUUAGAUACCCUGGUAGACCAUGCCGUAAACGUUGGGCGCUAGAUGUAGGGACCUUUCCACGGUUUCUGUGUCGUAGCUAACGCAUUAAGCGCCCCGCCUGGGGAGUACGGCCGCAAGGCUAAAACUCAAAGGAAUUGACGGGGGCCCGCACAAGCGGCGGAGCAUGCGGAUUAAUUCGAUGCAACGCGAAGAACCUUACCAAGGCUUGACAUACACCGGAAACGGCCAGAGAUGGUCGCCCCCUUGUGGUCGGUGUACAGGUGGUGCAUGGUUGUCGUCAGCUCGUGUCGUGAGAUGUUGGGUUAAGUCCCGCAACGAGCGCAACCCUCGUUCUAUGUUGCCAGCGGGUUAUGCCGGGGACUCAUAGGAGACUGCCGGGGUCAACUCGGAGGAAGGUGGGGAUGACGUCAAAUCAUCAUGCCCCUUAUGUCUUGGGCUUCACGCAUGCUACAAUGGCCGGUACAAAGGGCUGCGAUACCGUAAGGUGGAGCGAAUCCCAAAAAGCCGGUCUCAGUUCGGAUUGAGGUCUGCAACUCGACCUCAUGAAGUCGGAGUCGCUAGUAAUCGCAGAUCAGCAACGCUGCGGUGAAUACGUUCCCGGGCCUUGUACACACCGCCCGUCAAGUCAUGAAAGUCGGUAACACCCGAAGCCGGUGGCCUAACCCUUGUGGAAGGAGCCGUCGAAUGGUG
rnacentral:rRNA from 1 species